UACAGAGGUGGCAAGCGUUGUUCGGAAUUACUGGGCGUAAAGGGCGCGUAGGCGGUCUUGCAAGUCCCGUGUGAAAUCCCUCGGCUCAACUGAGGAACUGCACGGGAAACUGCUUGGCUUGAGUUCGGGAGAGGGAAGCGGAAUUCCGGGUGUAGCGGUGAAAUUCGUAGAUAUUCGCAAGAACACCAGUGGCGAAGGCGAUUUCCUGGCUCGGUACUGACGCUAAGGCGCGAAAGCGUGGGGAGCAAACAGG
rnacentral:rRNA from 1 species